rnacentral:lncRNA from 1 species
AGAUAAGGAAGUUUCACCGAAAAGAAAAGCCAGAAGGGAGGAAAGGAGAGGCCAGGCCGAUCGGCCUGGUCCCCUCUAGGUCGAUCAGCCUGAGGUCUUUCAACCUCGGUUUGUGUGUAGAAAAAUCCAGGAAGGUCUCUGAAAGAUCCUAGAACUAAUUUUUAUGGGGUACUGUUUAGAGGAGGUUCGGACAAGAGAUGAAAAUAAAAGAAAGAAAGAAUGUAAGAAAGAAGAAAGAAAAGAAAAAGAAAAAGUAUAGGGAAAAGAAAAGAAAUAAAAGGAAAAGAAAUGUCAUGAAGAUCAAGAAAAGUGCAAAGGAUUACCUUGUUUACGGAACGGAUUUUCAUUCCAACCAUGUGCAAUCCGAUGACAAGGACAUCGCUUGUGCCUUAGAGUCACUAUUUUAUUUGCUUUUUUACAUGUCCACUAUUCUAUAUCUUCUCAUCCUUGAAAACCUC